UAUGAUUUGGAUUUAUAAUGACUUUGUAAGAGCUUUAUAAAGUUAAGUUUGUUUUUGGAUGACUUGUGUUUUAUGAAAUAAAAUAGAGUUAACGUUUUGAGCAAUAUCAAGAGUUUUGUAAUAAAUCUACAAAUAAAAUUUUGUAGGUAAAUGGUUAUAGUUGUGCUUAAUAUGUAUUGUAAAUUUUAGCUUUGAUCUA
rnacentral:lncRNA from 1 species